AAAAGAAACCAACAGGGAUUCCCUUAGUAAGUGCGACUGAAACGGGAUGAGCCCAGCGCAUAAUCUCAUGUUUACCAUUAAUUUGGCAUGAGAGGUGUUGCGUUUCAGAGAGAUCUAGCAUUUUGUUUCACACCAUCUAAGUUUCCGAGUGAAUGCGUCCUAUGCCCCUGGAGGGUGAUAGGCCCGUGUGAUGGAAGUCAAUUCCCGUGAGGGGAUGAUGGAACAUUAUAAAGGAUCUUACUCUGUAGAGUCGGGUUGCUUGAGACUGCAACCCAAAGAGGUGGUAAACUCCAUCUAAGGCUAAAUAUAACCACGAGU
rnacentral:rRNA from 1 species